GCGUCGGUAGUGCAACGGGUCAGAGCACGCUCCCCUUGAUAGGAUGAAAUGCGGAUUCGAGUCCAGCCUGACGCG